rnacentral:rRNA from 1 species
AGCGAACGCUGGCGGCAGGCUUAACACAUGCAAGUCGAGCGGGCACUUUCGGGUGUCAGCGGCGGACGGGUGGGUAACGCGUGGGAACGUGCCCUCUGGUUCGGAAUAACUCAGGGAAACUUGAGCUAAUACCGGAUACGCCCUUUUGGGGAAAGGCUUGCUGCCGGAGGAUCGGCCCGCGUCUGAUUAGCUAGUUGGUGAGGUAACGGCUCACCAAGGCGACGAUCAGUAGCUGGUCUGAGAGGAUGAUCAGCCACACUGGGACUGAGACACGGCCCAGACUCCUACGGGAGGCAGCAGUGGGGAAUAUUGGACAAUGGGCGCAAGCCUGAUCCAGCCAUGCCGCGUGAGUGAUCAAGGCCUUAGGGUUGUAAAGCUCUUUUAUCCGGGACGAUAAUGACGGUACCGGAGGAAUAAGCCCCGGCUAACUUCGUG